rnacentral:tRNA from 1 species
GCCUUCGUGGUGUAAUGGCCAGCACUCUAGCCGCGUAUUCCAGAGGUCCGAGGUUCGAGUCCCGGCGAGGACA